GAUGGGUAACAACUAACUAAAAGUUACAAAGUUAGGCAAAAAACUUACCGAGGUUGAUCGGUCAUCUUCAAACAAGAGAAGAGUAAUUCUCUAAUAUGUUAAUGUGAAUGAGAAGUACCAUAUGAAUUUAGAAAAAGAGAAGAGUAACAACUAACAAACAUGGAGAAAGGGCAUAGAGAUGAGAACCUCAAAAAUAAUAGAUUGUGUUUCCUCUGUCCCAAUAUAACAGCUUCCAUUUCCUCUGUCCCAAACCCAAU
rnacentral:lncRNA from 1 species